AAAUGAAUUGACGGGGGCCCGCACAAGCAGUGGAGUAUGUGGUUUAAUUCGAAGCAACGCGAAGAACCUUACCAGGUCUUGACAUCGUGCGCAUAGUAUAGAGAUAUAUGAAGUCCUUCGGGACGCAUAGACAGGUGGUGCAUGGUUGUCGUCAGCUCGUGUCGUGAGAUGUCGGGUUAAGUCCCUCAACGAGCGCAACCCUUACGAUUAGUUGCUACGCAAGAGCACUCUAAUAGGACUGCCGUUGACAAAACGGAGGAAGGUGGGGAUGACGUCAAAUCAUCAUGCCCCUUAUGACCUGGGCUACACACGUACUACAAUGGUGAUCAACAGAGGGAAGCAAAGCGGCGACGCGGAGCAAAUCCCUAAAAGUCAUCUCAGUUCGGAUCGCAGGCUGCAACUCGCCUGCGUGAAGUUGGAAUUGCUAGUAAUCGCAGAUCAGAAUGCUGCGGUGAAUACGUUCCCGGGCCUUGUACACACCGCCCGU
rnacentral:rRNA from 1 species